GACGAACGCUGGCGGCGUGCUUAACACAUGCAAGUCGAACGGAAAGGCCCUGCUGUUGUGGGGUGCUCGAGUGGCGAACGGGUGAGUAACACGUGAGUAACCUGCCCUUGACUUUGGGAUAACUUCAGGAAACUGGGGCUAAUACCGGCUAGGAGCUCCUGCUGCUUGGUGGGGGUUGGAAAGUUUCGGCGGGUGGGGAUGGACUCGCGGCUUAUCAGCUUGUUGGUGGGGUAGUGGCUUACGUAGGCGGCGGCGCGUCGCCGGCCGGAGAGGGUGGCCGGCGACACUGGGACUGAGAGACGGCCGAGAGGGCUACGGGAGGCAGCAGUAGGGAAGCGUCGGCAAUGGACGAAAGUCUGAGCGAGCAGCGCCGCGUGAGGGAAGAGGGGUGUCGGAUGGUAAAGCUCGGUUGUAAGAGAAGAACGGGUGUGAGCGUGGAAAGUUCACACUGUGACGGUAUCUGACCAGAAAGGGACGGCUAACUACGUG
rnacentral:rRNA from 1 species